rnacentral:SRP_RNA from 1 species
CGUCGGUCACCCCGCAACGAAACACUGCGAACCCCGCCAGGUCCGGAAGGAAGCAACGGCAGUAGUGGCCUCGUGUGCGGGGAGCGGCGGGCGUGG